rnacentral:rRNA from 1 species
GACGAACGCUGGCGGCGUGCCUAAUACAUGCAAGUAGAACGCUGAAGGAGGAGCUUGCUUCUCUGGAUGAGUUGCGAACGGGUGAGUAACGCGUAGGUAACCUGCCUGGUAGCGGGGGAUAACUAUUGGAAACGAUAGCUAAUACCGCAUAAGAGUGGAUGUUGCAUGACAUUUGCUUAAAAGGUGCACUUGCAUCACUACCAGAUGGACCUGCGUUGUAUUAGCUAGUUGGUGGGGUAACGGCUCACCAAGGCGACGAUACAUAGCCGACCUGAGAGGGUGAUCGGCCACACUGGGACUGAGACACGGCCCAGACUCCUACGGGAGGCAGCAGUAGGGAAUCUUCGGCAAUGGACGGAAGUCUGACCGAGCAACGCCGCGUGAGUGAAGAAGGUUUUCGGAUCGUAAAGCUCUGUUGUAAGAGAAGAACGAGUGUGAGAGUGGAAAGUUCACACUGUGACGUAUCUACCAGAAAGGACGAGGGCUAACUACGUGCCAGCAGCCGCGGUAAUACGUAGGUCCCGAGCGUUGUCCGGAUUUAUUGGGCGUAAAGCGAGCGCAGGCGGUUAGAUAAGUCUGAAGUUAAAGGCUGUGGCUUAACCAUAGUACGCUUUGGAAACUGUUUAACUUGAGUGCAAGAGGGGAGAGUGGAAUUCCAUGUGUAGCGGUGAAAUGCGUAGAUAUAUGGAGGAACACCGGUGGCGAAAGCGGCUCUCUGGCUUGUAACUGACGCUGAGGCUC